AUUGAACGCUGGCGGCAGGCCUAACACAUGCAAGUCGAGCGAGCGGCGGACGGGUGAGUAAUGUAUGGGGAUCUGCCCGAUAGCGGGGGAUAACUACUGGAAACGGUGGCUAAUACCGCAUACUAUUGGAUGUACCCAUAUGGGAUUAGCUAGUUGGUGGGGUAAAGGCUCACCUAGGCGACGAUCGCUAGCUGGUCUGAGAGGAUGAUCAGCCACACUGGGACUGAGAAACGGCCCAGACUCCUACGGGAGGCAGCAGUGGGGAAUAGUGGACAAUGGGGGCAAGCCUGAUGCAGCCAUGCCGCGUGUAUGAAGAAGGCCUUAGGGUUGUAAAGUACUUUCAGCGGGGAGGCGUUACCCGCAGAAGAAGCACCGGCUAACUACGUGCCAGCAGCCGCGGUAAUUC
rnacentral:rRNA from 1 species